UCCCUACGGGCGGCUGCAGUGAGGAAUAUUGGUCAAUGGGCGAGAGCCUGAACCAGCCAUCCCGCGUGCAGGAUGACGGCCCUAUGGGUUGUAAACUGCUUUUCUGCUCCAAGAAACCCAUCUACGUGUAGGUGGUUGACGGUAGAGUAGGAAUAAGCAUCGGCUAACUCCGUGCCAGCAGCCGCGGUAAUACGGAGGAUGCAAGCGUUAUCCGGAUUCAUUGGGUUUAAAGGGUGCGCAGGUUGGAAUGUAAGUCAGUGGUGAAAUACUGCCGCUUAACGGUAGAACUGCCAUUGAUACUGCGUUUCUUGAGUAUGGUUGAGGUAGGUGGAAUGUGUUGUGUAGCGGUGAAAUGCAUAGAUAUGACACAGAACGCCGAUUGCGAAGGCAGCUUACUAAGCCAUUACUGACGCUGAGGCACGAAAGCGUGGGGAUCGAACAGGAUUAGAUACCCCUGUAGUCAC
rnacentral:rRNA from 1 species